UCUCACUUUCAACCACAAACUUCAACAACGACACAAAUGUCUGUUUAAACCGGAUUAUGUACAUGUGCAAAGAUAUGUUAUUGUUUUUAGGAUGUCUCAGUCUGUCCAAGAAGAUGAACCAGGAGCUGUUUAUGGUUUAAGAGCCAAUCUGCAGAUUCACUUAGAAUGUUGUCGAGUGACGUAGAGGACAGGAAGCUGGGCAUGGAGGAGGAGGAGGAGGGGGCGGAGGCUGUGCCACAGUUGCUAUGGCGAAAGCGCGUUGUCGACGAAGACUCAGAGCUGCAGGCCGUGGCGUCUUCUCCCAAUGGAAGAUUCUUAAAGUUUAACAUCGAGAUCGGAAGAGGAUCUUUCAAAACGGUUUUCAAAGGUCUGGACACGGAGACCACAGUGGAGGUGGCCUGGUGUGAGCUGCAGACCCAGCGGUUGUCUCGUGCAGAGAGGCUUCGCUUCACAGAGGAGGUGGAGAUGCUCAAAGGGCUUCAGCAUCCGAACAUUGUGCGAUUCUUCGACUCCUGGAAAUCCAGCGCUCCAGGAGCCAAAUGCACUGUGCUGGUGACCGAGCUCAUGACCUCAGGGACGCUCAAGACAUACCUGCGCAGGUUCCGUCAGAUGAAGCUGAAGUUGCUGCAGAGGUGGAGCUUUGAGAUCUUAAAGGGUCUUCAGUUCCUCCACUCUCGCUCUCCUCCCAUCCUCCAUCGAGAUCUCAAGUGUGACAACAUCUUCAUCACUGGACCAACCGCCUCCAUCAAGAUUGGAGACUUAGGGCUCGCCACGCUCAAGAAGAACUCAUUCGCCAAGAGUGUCAUCGGGACCCCGGAGUUCAUGGCUCCAGAGAUGUACGAGGAGAAGUACGACGAGGGGGUGGAUGUUUACGCGUUUGGGAUGUGCAUUCUGGAGAUGGCCACUUCUGAAUAUCCGUACUCCGAGUGUAAUAACCCAGCACAAAUCUACAAGAAGGUCACAAAUGGAAUCAAACCGGACAGUUUCAACAAAGUGACAGUUCCGGAGCUGAAGGAGAUCAUUGAAGGAUGUAUCCGACCUAGCAGCGCUGAGAGGUUUACAGUGCAGGAUUUGAUCGAACACCCUUUCUUCGAGGAGGAGUUGGGAGUGAAAGUGGAGGUUGCAGAGGAGGACGAUGGCCUGAAGCCGGCGCUAAAGCUGUGGCUGAAGAUGGAGGGAAACAGGAAGCUGCACGGGAAGUACAAAGACAACAAAGCCAUCGAGUUCCUGUUUGACAUGUCCAAAGACAACCCCGAGCUGGUGGCGCAGGACAUGGUCAUCUUAGGCUUUGUGUGUGAAGCAGACUACAGAGUGGUGACUAAAGCGAUCAGGUACAGAGUGAACGCUGUCAAACGCCAACGAGAAAAGAUGCAACGAUUGGUCGACGAUGAUGCCAGCCUUCUCGAGUUUACCAAUCAGAAGCCAGAAUCUCCAUUAAGCCAAGACAUGUCUUCAGAUCCUUGGUUCCAGGCCCCGCCCACAGGAUCCACCUUGAGCCCAUUGGAUUAUGGGAUCAGUAGUCUUUCCAGCAGAGCAAAUGUGGAAGAAGAAAGAAAACCAAGCUCCAUAGCCUCCACUGCAUCUAUAGCCUCAAUUGAAAGUGCUUCAUCAGUUUCCUCUGGCGUUGCAGAAGCCCCGCCCUCUCCAGUCUCAAGCCCCGCCUCUCCACCACAAAGCCCCGCCUCUCAAAGUGUUAACCCUGUUCCUCCUGCCUUAAACGCCGCCCCUCCUCCAGCUGUAAACCAAUCCCCUCCUUCCAGACAUACCACGUCUUUAUCAUACAAUCCCGGCAAUCAAGAAAGUAGUCCCGCCCCUCCCAUUUCAAAUCCUUCAACCAGAACCUCAGUUCAAUCUUAUGGCCCCGCCCCUCCUGCCUAUGACCCUGCCUCCUUAGUCUUAAACCCAGCCCCUCCUUCCCGAAACACCACCUCUUUGAGCUAUAAUCCCGCCAAUCAAAUUACAAACCCCGCCCCUCUGCAAAUCAACACUCCUCCUCCCAUUAGAAGCUCCACCACUUUGGUUUAUAAACCCGCCAAUCAAAUUACAAACCCCGCUCCUCCUUUAUAUAACCCUGCCAAUCAAGUCACAAAUCCCGCCCUUCCUUUAUAUAACCCUGGCAAUCAAGUCACAAACCCCGUCCCUCCUUUAUAUAACCCGGCCAAUCAAAUCACAAACCAUACCCUUCCUUUAUAUAACCCCGCCAAUCAAAUUACGAACCCCGCCCCUCCUUUAUAUAACCCCACCAAUCAACUGACAAACUCCGCCCCUCUUCCAUAUAACACUGUCAAUCAAGUCACAAACCCCACCCCUCCUUUAUAUAACCCCACCAAUCAACUGACAAACUCCGCCCCUCUUCCAUAUAACCCUGUCAAUCAAAUGACAAACCCCGUUCCCCCGACAUUUAACCCCGCCAAUCAAAUUACAAAUCCUGCUCUUCCUCAAAUCAACUCUCCUCCUCCCAUCAGAAGCUCCACCUCUUUGAUUUAUAACCCUGCCAAUCAAAUGACAAACCAAGCCCCUCCUCCAAUGAACUCUCCUCCUCCCAUCAGAAGCUCUGCUUCUUUGUCUUAUAACCCUGCCAAUCAAAUGCCAAACAACAUCCCUCCUCAAAUGAACUCUCCUCCUUCUGUCAGAAGCCCCGCCUCUUUGUCUUAUAACCCUGCCAAUCAAAUGCCAAAUACUGCCCCUCCGUCGGCGUUGGUGAGUCCAGUGCCACAAGUAAACCCCGCCCCUCAGGUUGCAAACUCUGUCCCUCCCAUCACAAAUCCUGCCUCCGUAUACUCUCCGUUUCUUAGCCUCUUUCCUCCUAUCAAACGCACCUCCAAACCUCCUCCUCUUCCUGUGCUUCGUUAUCCAAAGAGCAUCGCCGUUUCCCAGAAUCCCGAGCGAGUGCCAAGCUCUACGAGUGGGUUUUCCUCACCUGUGGACAGCUCUGCCUCCGAUGUGAUGUCUGGGAUGAGUGACAGGGACGAGAGCCAAUCAGAGCGUAGCAUCCGGUUGACCCGCCGCGCCAAGGCUAAGGCGUUCCAGAAGCGUGCACGUCUCCGGAUCACCUCCCUGUUGGACCGGGUGGUGGAGUGUCAGCUGUUCACUCACGAUAACAAAGUGGUCACCUACAAAUUUGACCUGGAUGCAGACAACCCCGAGGACAUCGCUUCAGUCAUGAUCCACAGGGACUUUAUUCUGAAACCUGAACGAGACGCUUUUAUCGACCGCAUGUAUGACAUCAUCAAGAGGGCGGAGUCUAUGAAUCAGCCCAGUCCACUACAGGAAGCACAGCCAACUCUACCUCUACCUCUACCUCUGCCUCUACCGGUGCAAACUUUGUCAAGGUCCCACUCGUCCUCCUCUUUGCCGGAAAUGGCUGACACUGCUCCAGCCACGGUGGGUGUAGACUUCUAUGUGGACAGAGAGGCCACGCCCCCUGUGAGGUCACUUAGAUCUCAGUCUUUUCACAACACCUCAGCCUCUUCUCCUCAGCCUCAGCCUCAGCCUCAGCCUCAGACUCCGCCUCCUUCUCCGUAUCCUUAUCAGUACCACCCCCAAACACAAGCACCGCCGAUGCCCCAAACUGCAGCCUCCCACUGGCCGCAUCCAGACCAGCCCAUCUUCUCCCUGUCCAAUGUUCUGUCUCUGGCGAUGAGUGUGGCACAGAACUGGAUGCCCCCUCCUCCUCCUCAUCCCCCUCCAGCUCCUCCAGCUCCUCCAGCUCCUCCAGCUCCUCCUACAUAUGGCUCUCCCCCCACUCCCCCCAUGUCUCCCCCUAGGCCCCUGCAGCAACAUCCGUCAUACAGUCAGCUACCGCCGGGGGCUCCUGUGCUCCCACCUACAGCUUCAGGCCACAUCCCAUCCCCACCUGCACAGCCUGCCAGCCCUGUGCUCCAGUCUAAUUCUACCUCCACUCCAGCCUCCUCAGGCUCAAACUCUGGAAGUGACGCCUCAUUUACAAACAAACCUCUCGUUUCUCCUCCUCCGUCUCCUUCACAAAGACUGUCACCUCAAUUAUCUCCUAUGAACAAAUCUCUCAUGUCUCCUCCUCCAUCCCCUUCGCAAAGACUGUCGCCCAGAUUAGCUCCUAUUCAAGAAGUAAAAAAGCAGGGGUUUAAAGUGGGGCGUUUCCAAGUCUCCGCCUCUAAAGACAAUCGAUCUUUGACCCAAGCCACUCCCACACGGCACUCCCCGCCCCCUCAGCGUCCCAGCCAAUCAGAGAGCAGCUCCGAGACCAGCAGCAGCAGCAGCAGUGGCCACUCACAGGUCGGCGUCUCUGCACGAACCAAUCAGGACAGAGACAAGGAAUCGGAGGAGCGGCAUUCUGGAAAUAGCCUAUCACAUUACGGCAGACACCAGACGGACAUGAGCUCUGACGAAUCAGAGAGCGAGAACGAGGAUGAUGUCAUGUGGGCGGAGCUACGGGAGCUACAAGACAGACACCUGGCGCAGGUGCAGGAGCUCCAGGCCAACCAGAAGAGAGAGAUCGAGCAGCUGUAUGUGCGCUUAGGGAAAACGCCCCCUGCUGCCAUCAUGGCACCAGCGGCCAUUUUGCACCCGCGCCCAAGAAGGCUCUCCAAAACCGGACCCCACCAAGGCUCCACCAGACACAGCAGCCUGCACCGCCUGGAGCACAUUCUGCCUGCUGGUGAGGAGUGAUACUGCACCGUAAAGUGCCCGUACCUGCUCUUUACAUCAUGCAUCACUUGGCAUCAUGAGGAAAGGCUCUCUGGGCGGCAGCAGCAGUGGAUCUCAGGAGAGGGUCAAAGGAGUGACCUUUGCCCCAGACGCGACCACGAUGAACACUUAAAGGAGAAGACACACACUUUACCUCAGGUUCGGAGACUGGAUUCACAUUUGUUGUUGUUGUGUUUCCGCACUUUAUAAGCUUAAUAUUGAGGCUUUUUCACUUGCCACUUUAAACUAUUUCUGUGUACUGCUAUGAGGCUGUGCUGUGUUAUUUGUGAUUCUUCAGCCAACAUGGGAAUAUUAAAGGCACUGGACCUGAUUUUUAUUACAUUUUUUUCAUAUAUUUGGGCAAAACACGUCUUGCCCUAGUACACGCAUUUUGUAUAAGCAGCUCUUGAGAUUAAAAUUUGUGUAUUAUCUGCAUCUAAUUAUAAA